rnacentral:rRNA from 1 species
UACGUAGGGGGCAAGCGUUGUCCGGAUUUAUUGGGCGUAAAGAGCGUGUAGGCGGCUUUACAGGUCCGUUGUGAAAACUCGAGGCUCAACCUCGAGACGCCGGUGGAAACCGUAAGGCUAGAGUCCGGAAGAGGAGAGUGGAAUUCCUGGUGUAGCGGUGAAAUGCGCAGAUAUCGGGAGGAACACCAGUGGCGAAGGCGGUUGCCUGGAGCUUUGCUGACGCUGAUGCGCGAAAGCGUGGGGAGCGAUCCGG